UCAGGCCUGCAACUCACCAGCACAAGAUCUCAAGUGACUCUUCUGCCAUAAGAGGAAGGAGUUAUUGCUGUACAGUCAUAAUGAGCAAGUUACAGCAUUUCUCUGAUGUCCAUUCUCGCAGGCAACACGCAUUUUGAUGGAGUGUGAUAUGGGAGUUCCAUAAUGAAACCUGUCUAAAGCAGUAUAUCAGCUUCCACUUUGGUUGGUCUAAAUCACUUUCAUGUAUGUCUUACAGAAGUAUUAGAAGUUACAAACGUUUGGUAAAGUUUCUGUGUAUAUGUAAAAUGGACUCUGUAUGGUUGCACCUUACCUCUCUUUUGCUAGUUUUUAUCGAAUAAAGUACAGCCAAUGAUA